rnacentral:rRNA from 1 species
UACGUAGGGUGCAAGCGUUGUCCGGAAUUAUUGGGCGUAAAGAGCUCGUAGGCGGUUUGUCGCGUCGGCUGUGAAAACUCGGGGCUCAACCCCGAGCCUGCAGUCGAUACGGGCAAACUAGAGUGUGGUAGGGGAGACUGGAAUUCCUGGUGUAGCGGUGAAAUGCGCAGAUAUCAGGAGGAACACCGGCGGCGAAGGCGGCAUCCUGGACCAAUUCUGACGCUGAGGAGCGAAAGCCAGGGGAGCAAACGGG